CGAGUGGUUCUUUCUCACUUGGGGCGAUGUUCACAUGCCUAAGGCAGCAUCCCCACACCGACCAGCUCAGCCGGAUGGAACCAGGGGGCAACCCAUCGCGUCCCGGGGUCCCUCUGCCAGCUCCAGGCGCUGGUCAUUCUCUUGCUGAGAAGAGACUACCAUCGGGAGACCCUUCAGGUUUCCAACAGAGCUCCUUCACAAGUCCUGUACCUUGUGUAUCCUUUUUUAAGACAGAGUCUGCAAGCCGGGCGUGGUGGCGCAGCCUGUCAUCCCAGCACUUGGGAGGCGAAGGCAAGAUUUCAAAUUCCAGGACAGCUAGGUUAUAUAACAGACCCUCUAUCAAAAAGAAAAGAACAAACCGGGAAUGAUGGGGAGCUCCUUUAAUUUCAGAACUCUGGGGACAGAGACUGGCGAGUCUCUUAGUUCGAGGUUAGCAGCUCCAUCCCAGGACAGCCAGGUCUAUACAAAGAAAUCCUGCUCUCCACCUCCUGCUGCACCCCCCCCCAAAAAAAGGAAAAUAAGAAGAAAACU
rnacentral:lncRNA from 1 species